rnacentral:rRNA from 1 species
CUACAUGAAGCUGGAAUCGCUAGUAAUCGCGGAUCAGAAUGCCGCGGUGAAUACGUUCCCGGGUCUUGUACACACCGCCCGUCACACCAUGGGAGUCGGGAAUGCCCGAAGCCGGUGGCCCAAUCGAAAGAAGGGAGCCGUCGAAGGCAGGCCGGAUGACUGGGGUGAAGUCGUAACAAGGUACC